rnacentral:lncRNA from 1 species
CUAUACUCAAUCAUAUGUAUCGUAUCGCAACAAAUCUGCAUAACUCUACUAUUGUCAAACAAGAUUACUUGGACGUAUUUUGGUGUAUUUUUCCUUAUAGUUGUAUUGGGAAAAAAUUAUCAAAAAUAUCAUGUAAUUUGUCAUGCUAUGGGGUUCUGAAUUCGGCUAACAGUGAUAAAGUACCGGAGAAACAAGAAAUUUGUAUCGGCUAUGCCUGAAUUGAAAUUGUACUCGAACUCCCUCUUCAGACGGAGUUCACAAAACCUGCAAGAAGGGAUCAAGGAACCAAAUGGAAUCCUUACAGACCGAAUAAAAAAACUGAACCAGAAAGAAGACCCUUACAUACAUGCUUGCAAGUCAAAACUAAUAUAUGCUUGGGGGUGAUGUCUUGCAAGUCACUACGGAGUUCACAAAACCUGCAGGAAGAAAUACCAAGCCCUGAUGCCCCAAUCAAUCAAGCUUCUCGUUCACAUAAGUUAGCCCGUGUAUCAUUCUUUCUUUGAAUCGCUUGUUGUACUUGUGCAAGUUUGACGAUCCAGAAAUGAUUGAAAAAUUAAUCUAUCAAAUUCCAGUCAGCAAGAAACUAUUUUAGGAUGACAAAACAGUAUAUGGAAGAGAAUUGAUUAAGCCCACACCCACAGAUCCAUACAUAUACACAAUGCAAAGGAGUGAACAAGUAAAAGGAAAAUGAUUGAACUUACUUCGCGGUAUGAUCCUAUAUCUUAUUAAAGCCUAAAAUCAAGUGUGUAUCCUAAAUCUUGUUAAAGCCUAAAAUUGAAGGGAUUUAGUGCAGUUUUGCAUUUCAUCAGGAAAUCACUAAGGGUCCCAAAUAAUGUUCAACUUCGCAGAAAAUUACCUACAAAAAGGGCCAAAGAAAUCAAAAAAGGAAUGCUCGCCGGGGGCUUGGAUUUGUUGGUUGUUGAUUCUCAAAACAAACAAAAAAUCAUCAAAGAGAUUAUAAGACAUUGACAUAGUCCCUAAUGUUUUUUUGAACAUGAAACAAAAUAAAAUCUGAUUGAAUUAUAUUUCAAUGGUUUAUGUGCCCCACAAUACCGCUGCUAUAAGAGUAUAUGAUUAAAAACAUUUACAGGACCAUGAAUCUGACUACAAUAGUACAACUAUGAUGUCUUCUAUUUGUUCUGAUCUGGACUGCUAUGUAAUGAAAUUGCAGAAAAAGUAACAUGAGCAUGGCGACUGUAGUAAAUAUGACCAAAACACUGUAAUUGGGGAGAUCAAUCUGUAUGUAAAUUAUUGUCCAAGAAUAAACAUAUCUUUGGAACUCCAAAAAAUCCUAGGGGCUAGGGAGUGACCAGCUGAAAUGGCCUCAAUCCAAAACUCGCCAUAAAUCAUACGGAAACCCCACUUAACUAAAUAGCACAAAAUAAGGUAUCUUUGUGUAUUCAUACGGAAGAACCCAUAGCUGCAUAGGUAAAGAAAAGAGAGAAAAAACAGAGCACCUGCUUCUGUUGCCGCUUCCAUCCAUCUGUGACGUCCUCACCUCUCCUCCCCAAUGACCAGACUUGCGCCGCCAUCACAACAUCAGCGAGACAGAUAGAGGGAAUACCCCAACACCCAACCCGGCCUUCAACCGUCGAAGCUUCCGCCCUAGAGCCGACCUGAACCUCUCUUUGGCCUUUCUCCGAUCCUGCCCCUUGACUCAUAUUCCCCUCCAAAUCUGUGAAAGAACUGGAGGCGCUGUCCAGAUCUGGGGGCAAGGAGAUAGGGAGAACGUCAGGGUUGCUCCCUGAGCUGGAUGGGGGCGGCAGCGGGCAGAGGCAUGGCUUGGGAACAGAUU